rnacentral:rRNA from 1 species
GACGUAGGGGGCCAGCGUUGUUCGGAAUUACUGGGUGUAAAGGGUUCGUAGGCGGUGUGGCAAGUCGGGAGUGAAAUCUCUGGGCUCAACCCAGAGUCUGCUUCCGAAACUGCUGUGCUUGAGUGUGGGAGAGGCGCGUGGAAUUGCAGGUGUAGCGGUGAAAUGCGUAGAUAUCGAGAGGAACACCAGUGGCGAAGGCGAGUCUCUGGACAUUUCCUGACGCUGAGGCACGAAAGCCAGGGGAGCAAACGGG